AACUUCCAACUUCAACUGUAUAUUUUGUAUGCAGCUGUGGUGGUACUAGCUAAGUCAUGUCUGACUACAACAGUGUACAACAAACCCAAACCAACCCAGGGCCAUAGCAAAAUAUGUCACAGAUGAUUACAUAGUGUAACGGCGUCACCUGCCAAAAUCGAAUCCAAUCUGGAGCCAGUCAGUCUACAUCUGUAAAGCAUAGAAUUAGUUUCCAAAAAAGAUUACGUUAUUUCUCGAAAUAUGUUUAUAAUUGAGGGAUGAUGACAAUCGUUGAUCCUGUUUUUUCAGUUAGACAAAGUGCACAGUUGGGUGUCAGACUUAUCCCCUGGUCAUGAACGGAUGCUGGGACCUAUCAGAAGAAGUAAAGGUCCUCCCAGUGAACACCACCUCAUAAGAUUGCCUGCUGCGGUUGUUCAAGAGAUGGACUGGGGGAGGGGCCCUCAUCAGCAUCAUGCAGACAAGCGAUUGCUGUGAGCAUUCCUAUGAAUUGAUCAGUCAGCCACAUAUUGGCAAGUAUCUGUCCAGAAACAUUCACUUGUCAGCAUCAACAACUUUCACAGGCUCAUCAUUUGUACAAAUACAGAAGGUAAACCACUUCAUUCCUUUGAUACAUUUGAUAAGCCAAUUGUGAAACAAUAUAUGUAAACUGACAUUAUUUGGUGCUUAUUUUCUACUUCUUAGAUGCAUAUAAUGCCCAGGGCAUAAUGUAGCCUGGUUGAACCACCUGAUCGCCGUGUUCACCAUUCUAUUUCACUUUACAUUUGAUGAUAUUUGAAGUGAAAUAGAAAGGUGAACGCAGUGAUCAGGUUGGUUCCACCAGGCUAAUCAUAACCAUUAUUGAUAAUGCAAUCAGUGCUCUGUGUGUGCGCGUACGACCGCCUGACCGACCGACCGAGGAGCUGAUCUACGCUGCUAUGCCCAUCAAUGGGGCUCUGGCAAAGACCUCACCUCCAGCCUCACCUCUUGCCUCCUCAGCAACGGUUGUCGAUGGGGAGAACAGAAUUAGGUAGGUUUAGUCUGACCCGUUCAAACUUCAACAUAGUAUCUGUUUGUGUGCCAGAUAUGACCUAUUCUAACUGCUAUUGGUAAUAGAACAGUGACUGUUCACAGAUACCUGUACGGAGCCAGCACUUUGGAAACUUGUUAUGGUGGUACUACUGAUGUCUGACUAUAACCGGUUACAACAAACCCAAACCAACCCAGGGCCAUAGAACAUGUCACAGUUGGUUGCAUAGUGUAACGGCAUCACCGGCCUGAAUCUAAUCCUACACCUGUAGGGAUAUUAGUUCUGGGAUUUGUCUCCCGGGAAAGAUCUAACAGCGGACAUGAGGAGAGAUGAGACAAAACCAUCCAGUUAUAGAAUAUUGUGUUAAAGGACAGCUGAGCUUACUGUUGACCUCGGGCAUUCAACUCGCAGUAGUCGAUAUUAUUUCCACGGUAACAUGUAUUUACAUGACUUGUUGAAACUAAGUUCCAAGCUACUUUGGUAGCAAGGCGUUGUAGAACGAGUGUCUUAUGAAACACAUUCCAGACACUGGCUCUUGCUAUGUUGCAAUAACUGAUUUGACAGAGACAUAUCAGCUAGAUGGUAUAACCAGCUGCAGCUAUUAAAAAGCUAUGCUAACUAGCUGCUGUCAGCUUGGCUAAAUACAAGCAAAAGUGUAAAGUACUCAAGUAAAAAAUACUUUAAUGUACUACUUAAGUUGUUUUUUGGGGUAUCUGUAGUUCACUUUGCUAUUUAUAUUUUUGAGAACUUUUCAUUUUACUCCACUACAGUUCUAUAGAAAAUAUACUUUUUACUCCCAUACAUUUCCCUGACACCCAAAGUACUUGUUACAUUUCGAAUGCUCAGGCAGGACAACAAUAUGGUCCAAUUCACACACCUAUCAAUAUAACGUGUUGCCAUCCCUUCUUCCUCUGAUCUGGUGGGCUCACUCAACACAAAUACUGUGUUUGUAAAUGGUGUCUGAGUGUUGGAGUGUGCCCCUGGCUGUCUGUAAAUAAAACAAAAUUAUAAAAAAAA